rnacentral:rRNA from 1 species
GUGGGGAAUCUUAGACAAUGGGGGAAACCCUGAUCUAGCCAUGCCGCGUGAGCGAUGAAGGCCUUAGGGUUGUAAAGCUCUUUCAGCUGGGAAGAUAAUGACGGUACCAGCAGAAGAAGCCCCGGCUAACUCCGUGCCAGCAGCCGCGGUAAUACGGAGGGGGCUAGCGUUGUUCGGAAUUACUGGGCGUAAAGCACGCGUAGGCGGACCAGAAAGUUGGAGGUGAAAUCCCAGGGCUCAACCUUGGAACUGCCUUCAAAACUCCUGGUCUGGAGUUCGAGAGAGGUGAGUGGAAUUCCGAGUGUAGAGGUGAAAUUCGUAGAUAUUCGGAGGAACACCAGUGGCGAAGGCGGCUCACUGGCUCGAUACUGACGCUGAGGUGCGAAAGCGUGGGGAGCAAACAGGAUUAGAAACCCCAGUAGUCC